rnacentral:rRNA from 1 species
GACGAACGCUGGCGGCGUGCUUAACACAUGCAAGUCGAACGGAAAGGCCCUUCUUUUUUCUCGUGCUCCAGAGGCGAACGUAUCACUAACAUAAGAUUCACCUGCCCUUGACUUUACGCUCGCUUCCGGGAACUGGUGCUGGUAACGACUCGGCUCCCCAUCUGCUUUGUGUGGAUUGUAUUUUUUCUGCGGUUGGGGAUGGACUCGCGGCUUAUCAGCUUGUUGGUGGGGUCGUGGCUUACCAAGGCUUUGACGGGUAGCCGGCCUGAGAGGGUGACCGGCCACAUUGGGACUGAGAUACGGCCCAGACUCCUACGGGAGGCAGCAGUGGGGAAUAUUGCACAAUGGGCGGAAGCCUGAUGCAGCAACGCCGCGUGAGGGAUGACGGCCUUCGGGUUGUAAACCGCUUUCGGCUGGGACGAAGCGUGAGUGACGGUAAUGGGUAAAGAAGCACCGGCUAACUACGUG